ensembl:lncRNA DEPTOR-AS1 DEPTOR antisense RNA 1
UGUAAAACACCGAGGCUCAGGGGAGUGAAGGAAGACUUGUCAGCAAAAAGGAAAACCUAGUGAAGACUAUCGUUGGUCUUGCUCCUUUUAUCAAGGAGUAGAGGGGCUGGGGUCGCCUCGGGACCCCACAGCGACCCCUCUUGCUCUCUUCGCGGAUGAGGCGCAGGCUGUCAGCCGGGAGGCCUGGCGGCGUCCAGACGACUUGUUUGCCUUAUGUUGUAAUCAAUAAGGAACGCCGGCCUAGGAAUCAGGCUGACCUGGGAUCCAGCUCCGCUCCUGUGAUGUCCUAUUUAAAUGUGUUUAAUCCUCCCUUACAAAAUAAAAAUAAUUGCGGCUACCACUUUUGACAUCUGCUGCAUUAAAGAUACUUCAGAGUCGGAGUUGGUCUGCAGGAAGGCGAAGUAAUGUUUAUGGCAGUA